rnacentral:rRNA from 1 species
GACGAACGCUGGCGGCGUGCUUAACACAUGCAAGUCGAACGGAAAGGCCCUUCGGGGUACUCGAGUGGCGAACGGGUGAGUAACACGUGGGUGAUCUGCCCUGCACUUUGGGAUAAGCCUGGGAAACUGGGUCUAAUACCGAAUAGGACCACGCGCUUCAUGGUGUGUGGUGGAAAGCUUUUGCGGUGUGGGAUGGGCCCGCGGCCUAUCAGCUUGUUGGUGGGGUAAUGGCCUACCAAGGCGACGACGGGUAGCCGGCCUGAGAGGGUGACCGGCCACACUGGGACUGAGAUACGGCCCAGACUCCUACGGGAGGCAGCAGUGGGGAAUAUUGCACAAUGGGCGCAAGCCUGAUGCAGCGACGCCGCGUGAGGGACGACGGCCUUCGGGUUGUAAACCUCUUUCAAUAGGGACGAAGCGCAAGUGACGGUACCUAUAGAAGAAGCACCGGCCAACUACGUG